rnacentral:pre_miRNA from 1 species
UAACUCAAGGCGGUUUUCAUGAAUGAAUGAAACAUGAAGCCCUCUUGAUAAGC